rnacentral:rRNA from 1 species
UACGUAGGGUGCGAGCGUUGUCCGGAAUUACUGGGCGUAAAGCGCGCGUAGGCGGAAUGGCAAGUCGGUUGUGAAAUCCUUCGGCUCAACCGAAGAACGUCGAUCGAAACUGCCGUUCUUGAGGAUUGCAGAGGAGACUGGAAUUCCCGGUGUAGCGGUGAAAUGUGUAGAGAUCGGGAGGAACACCGGUGGCGAAGGCGGGUCUCUGGGCAAUUCCUGACGCUGAGGCGCGAAAGCGUGGGGAGCAAACGGG